UAAAUACUCCCUCCGUCCCAAAAUUCUUGUCUUAGAUUUGUGUAGAUAUGAAUGUAUCUAGUCACAUUUUAGUAUUUAGAUACAUUCUUUUCUAUAGAAACGUAAGACAAAAAAAUUCGGAUGGAGGGAGUAGUUA
rfam:Hordeum vulgare subsp. vulgare, WGS project CAJW01000000 data, contig: morex_contig_1626151